GAGYGCACUUUAAUGUGACUCUUUGUAUCAACAUUACCACCCAACCCAGAGGUGCAUUGUGGCCUUUAACGAGGUUAGCAGUGUAUCAGUACGUAUCCCAAAGGCAACUUUGAGUUACAUUACCCAUCAUUUACCCCCAUUUACACUUAAGAAGUUUUAAGAAUGAUACCCAUACCUAUAUAACUUUCAGCAAUGGAUCUCUAGGCUCUCACGUCGAUGAAGAACACAGUGAAAUGUGAUACGUAAUGUGAAUUGCAGAAUUCAGUGAAUCAUCGAAUCUUUGAACGCACCUUGCACCUUUUGGUUAUUCCGAAAGGUACACCUGUUUGAAUGUCACAAAACCCCCCUCGGCUCUAAUGCUUUCUAAAAGGAUUUGAGACGGAUUCUGAGUGUUGGCGUGAUCACGCCUCGCUUCAAAUAGAUCAGCACUUUUGGAUGGUUGAAUAUUAGUUUGAAAGACGUACUUGAUGUUGUAUUUAUAUUUCGUUGAGGCAGUCUUUGGUCGUUCCGACUAUCCGCUAAUAUGAAGACUUGAAGAAUAGCUUCCUAACCCUAUGAAUUAACCUU
rnacentral:rRNA from 1 species